CUGCAACUCUGGGGUUAAAGGGAGUGGGGUGAGCUACUAGAGCCCAGUGAGCAGAAACUAAAAACAUUUGUUUUAAUUCCUCCAUUUUUAGAUAUAUUAUUAUUCAUUUUAUUAUUAUUAUUAUCAUAUAACUUUUUCUUAUUCAUGCUUUCAUGUAUGCGCCAUAACACAAACAUUUCACAACAAGGAUGAACUUGUCACCAUUUAGCCCCAAUCUUUCUUACUUAUACAUGCCGGGGGCGUAGAGCCGUAGCAGGCACACCCGGACUUCCAUAAUCAGUCAUAGUGCCAGGGGCGUAGAGCCGUAGCAGGCACACCUGGACUCACAUAGGCUAUCAUGGCAUACAAGGGCUAAUGGAUCAUUCAACAUUCAUCCACAUCAACAACAAAGUAUGCAAUGCAACAUAUUCGUGAAUUCUAAUGCAAACAACCUAAUAUUGCAUGGCAUAAUGAUGCAUGGGCAAUGCUUAUUGAUUCAUUCAUUUAUU
rnacentral:lncRNA from 1 species